GAAGAACUGGGAAAUCAUGGCCG
rnacentral:piRNA from 1 species